UACGAAGGGGACUAGCGUUGUUCGGAAUCACUGGGCGUAAAGAGCUCGUAGGCGGCCUGUUGCGUCCGCUGUGAAAUCCCGGGGCUCAACCCCGGGCCUGCAGUGGAUACGGGCUGGCUAGAGGCAGGCAGGGGAGAACGGAAUUCCUGGUGUAGCGGUGAAAUGCGCAGAUAUCAGGAGGAACACCGGUGGCGAAGGCGGUUCUCUGGGCCUGUACUGACGCUGAGGAGCGAAAGCGUGGGGAGCGAACAGG
rnacentral:rRNA from 1 species